UUGGAGGGCAAGUCUGGUGCCAGCAGCCGCGGUAAUUCCAGCUCCAAUAGCGUAUAUUAAAGUUGUUGCAGUUAAAAAGCUCGUAGUUGAAUUUCGGGGUUAGUAGGUUGGUCAUGCCUCUGGUAUGUACCGGUCUCACUGAUUCCUCCUUCCUGAUGAGCCGUAAUGCCAUUAAUUUGGUGUUGCGGGGAAUUUGGACUGUUACUUUGAAAAAAUUAGAGUGUUUAAAGCAAGCUAACGCUUGAAUACAUUAGCAUGGAAUAAUGAAAUAGGACGUUCGAUCCUAUUUUGUUGGUUUCUAGGAUUGACGUAAUGAUUAAUAGGGAUAGUUGGGGGCAUUAGUAUUCAAUUGUCAGAGGUGAAAUUCUUGGAUUUAUUGAAGACUAACUACUGCGAAAGCAUUUGCCAAGGAUGUUUUCAUUAAUCAAGAACGAAAGUUAGGGGAUCGAAGACGAUCAGAUACCGUCGUAGUCUUAACCAUAAACUAUGCCGACUAGGGAUCGGAUGAUGUUAAUUUUUUAAUGACUCAUUCGGCGCCUUACGGGAAAC
rnacentral:rRNA from 2 species